rnacentral:rRNA from 1 species
UAGCAUAUCAAUAAGCGGAGGAAAAGAAACUAACAAGGAUUCCCCUAGUAACUGCGAGUGAAGCGGGAAAAGCUCAAAUUUAAAAUCUGGCAGUCUUUGGCUGUCCGAGUUGUAAUCUGGAGAAGCGUCUUCCGCGCUGGACCGUGUACAAGUCUCCUGGAACGGAGCGUCAUAGAGGGUGAGAAUCCCGUCUUUGACACGGACUACCAGUGCUCUGUGAUGCGCUCUCAAAGAGUCGAGUUGUUUGGGAAUGCAGCUCAAAAUGGGUGGUAAACUCCAUCUAAAGCUAAAUAUUGGCGAGAGACCGAUAGCGAACAAGUACCGUGAGGGAAAGAUGAAAAGCACUUUGGAAAGAGAGUUAAACAGUACGUGAAAUUGCUGAAAGGGAAACGCUUGAAGUCAGUCGCGUUUGCUAGGACUCAGCCUGGUUUCGGCCUGGUGCACUUCCUAGUAAACGGGCCAGCAUCACUUUUGGCUGCGGGAAAAAGGUUAGAGGAAUGUGGCACCCUCGGGUGUGUUAUAGCCUCUAGCUGUAUACCGUGGCGGGGAGUGAGGAACUCAGCACGCCUCUGGCGGGGCUUCGGCCACCUUCGUGCUUAGGAUGCUGGCGUAAUGGCUUUAAACGACCCGUCUUGAAACACGGACCAAGGAGUCUAACAUGCCUGCGAGUGUUUGGGUGGAAAACCCGAGCGCGUAAUGAAAGUGAUAGUUGGGACCUCUGUCGUGGAGGGCACCGACGCCCGGACCAGACCUUCUGUGACGGAUCCGCGGUAGAGCAUGUAUGUUGGGACCCGAAAGAUGGUGAACUAUGCCUGAAUAGGGUGAAGCCAGAGGAAACUCUGGUGGAGGCUCGUAGCGAUUCUGACGUGCAAAUCGAUCGUCAAAUUUGGGUAUAGGGGCGAAAGACUAAUCGAACCAUCUAGUAGCUGGUUCUGC